GCAGAGGGGUCCGCGGGCUCUGGAGGUGCUGGACGGGUGCGAUCCGAGAGCAGACCGGGGCCCUCGCGAGCCUCUCCCGGCCCCUGCCCGCGAUGAGCGAGGCCAGCCGACUGUGCUCCGGCUACUACAGCCUCAACCAGAGCUUCGUGGAGCCCUUCCAGUGCCCCCGGCGCGGCGAGGGGGCAGCGCUCCAGUAUUGCUGCGGCUUCGCCGACCUCAAGUACUGCUGCAGCGAGCCGGGCAGCUACUUCCCCUACAAGCACAGCUACAUGUGGAGCCUCAGGUCAAACUUGUCAGUGUCCUAAUCCCAGAGAAAGAGCAGAAGCCUAAAGGCAAGCCAGGAAGAUAAUGAAGAAAAAGAUCAUUACUUUUCAAUGACCAUUGGUGCCUUGAUUGGACUAGGAAUUGCUGCCCUUGUUUUACUCGCCUUUGUCAUCAGUGUCUGUGUCCUUUGCUAUUUAUUUCUGUAUACGAAACCUCAAAGAUUAGACACUGGCCUUAAGCUUCAACACUUAGAGGCUUCUUCCACUCAAGAAGGCAAGUCAAAUGGAAAAACCAAAGCCCUCAAUUCAAAUGCAGCAUCAAAUGCAACAAAUGAAACAUACUAUGAAG
rnacentral:lncRNA from 1 species